AGUGAACGCUGGCGGCGUGCUUAACACAUGCAAGUCGAACGAUAAGCUUCUUUCGGGAAGUGGACAGUGGCGGACGGGUGAGUAACGCGUGGGAACCUGCCUUUUGGUUCAGAACAACAGUUGGAAACGACUGCUAAUACUGGAUAUUCCCUUAGGGGGAAAGAUUUAUCGCCAAGAGAUGGGCCCGCGUUAGAUUAGCUAAUUGGUAAGGUAAUGGCUUACCAAGGCUCCGAUCUAUAGCUGGUUUGAGAGGAUGAUCAGCCACACUGGGACUGAGACACGGCCCAG
rnacentral:rRNA from 1 species